rnacentral:lncRNA from 1 species
GUCUCUCUACUCUCAUCAUCAUCAUCAUCAUCAAUCUGCAAUUUGGUUGUUGUCGUCAUCAACAGCAGCAACAGCAGCAAUCACACAAAUCUGCAAUCUGCGUGCCUCUCUCCUCUCUUCAUCAUCAAUCUGCCAUCAUCACCAUCAGCAAUCUGUGCGCCUCUCUUCUCUCUUCAUCAUCAAUCUGCCAAGGUAUCUUUUAUGUUUAUGUGCAAUUAUAUUUUUUAUUGUUAAAUUUUGAAUUUGAAGAUAGAUUGAAUACUUUUAGGCUAGACACAGUUGAUAUGUAAAUUUUUUAGCAAUUUCGAUCUCUUUCUCCAAAACCCUCAUUUUAUUAGUUUUUCUAAUUCUUCUCUUUCUCUUCCCAAAGUUUUAAUCAAUUUCAACCAGCCCUACAUCUACAUCUCAGAUACUAUGCAGUAUGCAUAUAAACUUUGCUUUGUUAGGAAUUUAACUAUGUAAAAAAUUGAAAUUUUACACCUUUCGAUUGUCCAACCUCUUCCUUCUCUCUCUUUUGACUUAUUAGGUCUGAUAGAAAGAAAUUAAGGUCUUUGGUAAUCCUCUUUACCAGCUUAAGGUUUCUGCGAAUCCUCUUACUUUAAAGGUACAAAUCUCUCUUUUGAAACAUCCCUGCCAAUCUCUCUUUUUCUAAUAUGACACUCAUGUAAUCUUCUACCUUCUUAUUUAAUUCACCAAAUUUGUUAAAUUUUUAUUCAAUUCACUAUUAAUUAAUAUUUCUUAUCAUAAAUUUUUGUUCUUGUAUAUGUAUAACUCCUUACAAUUAAUUAUCAAUAUAAUUCGUCCUACAUAUGCUACUGAAAAAGUUUUCCAUAUGCUACUGAAAAAGUUAUCUCACAUUAUUUCGAUAGUAGCAUAUAGAAUAAGUUAUAUUAACUUCUCAAGACUGCAACCAUGUACACAGGCUUUAGGUUGUUGGAAUUAUUGUUCUUUCUGAGUGAAUGAAUCCUGCUUACUCAUUUAUCUUGCCACUUAUGUGUAGUUUUGAGAUUCCUAUUAUAGGGAUUAAUUAAAUCCUAUGUUGAGUUUAUAAGAAGUGAUAGCUUAAGGUUUCAUGAAUGGAUUGUGAUGGAUGUACUCUUACGCUAUUUAACUCUGUUGAAAACCAUAUAAUAUGUACAUAAUAGAUACCUUUAAAGUAAGAGGAUUUUCCUUACCAGCUUCUCUCUUCCUCUUGCAUCUUAACUCGAUCUUAAUAUCAAUUCAAGAGGUUUACUUGCAACUAAAUAAGAAGAAGAUAAUGUUAGAAACUUUCAACAGAUAUUCUUAAUACCAGUUUGAUUCAGAGAUUUGAGUUGGGGUAAUUUUUUAACUCUUAAUCUUCAAUGUUUUUUUAUCUAGCAAUUGAUUUUAUUUGAUAAUUUUUUUUAUUCUUGAUUCAAUUCAAUAAUAGCAUGUCCAACUAGAAUUUAUUUUAUUCUUGAUUCAAUUCAAGAAUUUUGAUAGCGAUUAUCUGUUAUAGCUUAAUCAUUGUUUACAAUUAUAGUAUGAAUUGUGUGAAACCUCUUCUCUUUUUUUUUCUCUCUCUCUCUCUUUUGAUUUGAUGUUUAAGUUGGGUUCAAUUUUGUAAAGACUCAAAAUCUAAAUGCCAGAACUAAAUUAUUUUAUUUAUUCAUCGUUAUUAUUUGUACAUGUAGUACAAUCGAUGAUAAUAAAAAUUACAUACCAUCGAUGAUAAUAAAAUUACAUACCGCAUACAAAUUCUUAGAAAAAUACAUCAAUAAAAUAUUAGACAUAUAUAAACAAAUGAAAAUACGAUCACUUAUAAAGGUGGAUCAGAAGUCGAGCUUCUUGGAUAAUGGUAAGGGGGACUUCUAGGCAUGUAGUCAGACCAUAGCGUUCCACCAUGCAUAUAUCUUCAUGUUUCAUACCCUUAGGAAGUUUCCAGUUCAAAUCAUGGAGGAUGUUGCCAAUUGUUGUUCUAACAAUUCUAAGUCCAAGGAUAUAUCCAGGGCAUUUUCUUCAGCCUGCACCAAAUGGUAAUAAGGUGGAGCCUCUUUCUUCAGCAAACAGCUGACAGUUCUUAAUGAAUCCGUAGACACAUGCACUUUCCUUAUUCUCAUAUGAUCUGCUAACUCAAGUCCCUCCUUGACUGCACUGAGUUUUUGCCAUAUGUCAGUCAUUUAUUGGAAUAUAAAUGUAAUUUGCUUUUUCUGUUACAGAUGUCAGUCAUUUCCUAUAUACUAGCAUGUAAUGGCUAGGAUUCAGUAAUCAUGCCCUCUUUCAAUGUGAAAAUUUAUUAUAGUCUAGAAGGCAGCAGGCCAAACCAGAGUAAGAAAGGCAUCAUAGCCAUGGUGGUAGACUAUAUAUUAUUAGAGGUCGUGGGUUCGAAACAUGUCAACAGCGGAUUGUUGAUAUAAGUUUCCACACGUAAUUUAAAAGGGGUAGGGGUCCCCACAACCUCGCUUGCCAACCAAAAAAAAAAUAAAUGAUGGGCUUCUAUCUAGAGUCUUUUUAAAUUUUUUGAUAAAAAUAGACUUAGAGUUUAGUUGAAUUCUCAAAGUGAUGCCUUUUUUUUUGGCUUAAGGGUGAUUAAUAUUAACAAAAUGAUGCCUUCACUGGUAUAUCAAUUCACUAUUAAUGGAUACUGGUCAUCAUCUUUAAGUUUAUUUUCUAUUAUAUUCUAAAUUGUAUGUUUUAUUUGACUUAAAAUGUGUUCUUAUGAAUAAUGUUAUUAGGUAUUUUUGGUAAUUUCCCUUUCGUUAAUCUAGGGUACACCUACUUUAAUAAUCUAACAAUUGUUUGAAAAAUGGGUUCAAGUUGAUUGAUAGCGAGUAUCUGUUAUAGCUUAUCACUGUUUACAAUAAUAGUAUGAAUUGUUUGAAACCUCUUCCUUUUUUUUCUUUUGAUUUAUUAGGUAUGAUAGAAUAAAGUUUUUGGUAAUCCUCUU